AUUAGUAGCAUAUGUGAAAAACAACAUAUUUCACCAUGUCAAGAGGUCAGCGAAUCAUAUCGCUCAUGUGCUUGCACGGGCAACUGGUUCCUCGUCUGUCCU